UCGCCGCGCUGGUGCAGGUGGAAUGCCUGAGUUUUGGCCUCAUGGAUUUCGUUUCAGCCCACAACGGUGCGAUUCCAGGCGCGGCGAU
rnacentral:tRNA from 1 species